rfam:Triticum aestivum genome assembly, contig: Triticum_aestivum_CS42_TGACv1_scaffold_499694_6BL
GAGCCUAUGAUGAUUAGCUUUAUGUUGGAAUUACCAUCAGAUUUGAAAUGUCGUUUUUUUUUCGGCUUUCUGAGGUUUAUU